rnacentral:rRNA from 1 species
AGUAAUGUCUGGGAAACUGCCUGAUGGAGGGGGGAGUAACUACUGGAAACGGUAGCUAAUACCGCAUAACGUCGCAAGACCAAAGAGGGGGGACCUUCGGGCCUCUUGCCAUCGGAUGUGCCCAGAUGGGAUUAGCUAGUAGGUGGGGUAACGGCUCACCUAGGCGACGAUCCCUAGCUGGUCUGAGAGGAUGACCAGCCACACUGGAACUGAGACACGGUCCAGACUCCUACGGGAGGCAGCAUG